CUGAGCUGUGCUGGCUGGGACAGCCCUCUGCACUCUCAGCCCACGGGAAAGCACCAGGUCAGGGGCUUCUGCAGACAGCAGCAGAGCCUGACCCCACUUCUGUGGGAAAGGCUCCUCAGGACACUCUGAGGUUCAGGGAAUGCCAGUUGAGAAGACGUGGCCAACCUCGCUAAGGUGGUUCCCUAGGUCACUGAGCAGGUGACCUGAUUCUCAGGGUUUUCCAAAGUGGCCCCUGGCUGCAGAAUCUCCAGGGAGAACUUUGUGCCCACAGCGUACGCCACGGCAGAAUCUACCUGCAAAAUUAGCCGCUGAGGCUCCCUCACCGACACAGAGGACGAGGUCGGCAUGGGAGAACGGAAGAUGGCACGAGACGAAGAAAAUACCUACGGUAAGACCUUGUCUCCGUGCGCACUUGCCCCCGGGCAUCAGCUCUGGGUCACAGGCCAUGGGCUAACUCAAGACUGAACAGAGACAGAUCCCAGACUUCCACCCAGACUUGUCCCCAUGCUGGGCUGACACAUUAAGAGUCCCGGCUUUGCAUGUUUGCUAGACCUCUGCCCCGGCCCUACUGUGAGACGUUAGGUGCUUUGACUAGCCUGUGCCUUGCUUGGGUCCCAAGGAGGAUAAGAAAUCUACUCUGAUUCCCACAGACUAGCGGUGGGGGGACACCAUGAACUAGAGGGAACCCGGUUUCCCAGUAGAAUGUGUUAGUGAACAAGGAUGGAGGGUUAAGGGUAUCCCAC
rnacentral:lncRNA from 1 species